UACGUAGGGGGGCAAGCGUUGUCCGGAAUUAUUGGGCGUAAAGAGCGCGUAGGCGGUCCGAUAAGUCGGCUGUGAAAGUCCAGGGCUCAACCCUGGAAAGCCGGCCGAUACUGUCGGACUAGAGUCCGGAAGAGGCAAGUGGAAUUCCUGGUGUAGCGGUGAAAUGCGCAGAUAUCAGGAAGAACACCAAUGGCGAAGGCGGCUCUCUGGGGACGGUACUGACGCUGAGACGCGAAAGCGUGGGGAGCGAACAGG
rnacentral:rRNA from 1 species